UACAGAGGGGGCAAGCGUUGUUCGGAAUUACUGGGCGUAAAGGGCGCGUAGGCGGCCUGCUAAGUCGAACGUGAAAUCCCCGGGCUCAACCCGGGAACUGCGUCCGAUACUGGUUGGCUUGAAUUCGGGAGAGGGAUGCGGAAUUCCAGGUGGUAGCGGUGAAAUGCGUAGAUAUCUGGAGGAACACCGGUGGCGAAGGCGGCAUCCUGGACCGGCAUUGACGCUGAGGCGCGAAAGCCAGGGGAGCAAAGCGGGG
rnacentral:rRNA from 1 species